rnacentral:rRNA from 1 species
GACGAACGCUGGCGGCGUGCUUAACACAUGCAAGUCGAACGGAAAGGCCCUGCUUUUGUGGGGUGCUCGAGUGGCGAACGGGUGAGUAACACGUGAGUAACCUGCCCUUGACUUUGGGAUAACUUCAGGAAACUGGGGCUAAUACCGGAUAGGAGCUCCUGCUGCAUGGUGGGGGUUGGAAAGUUUCGGCGGUUGGGGAUGGACUCGAGGCUUAUCAGCUUGUUGGUGGGGUAGUGGCUUACCAAGGCUUUGACGGGUAGCCGGCCUGAGAGGGUGACCGGCCACAUUGGGACUGAGGUACGGCCCAGACUCCUACGGGAGGCAGCAGUGGGGAAUAUUGCACAAUGGGCGGAAGCCUGAUGCAGCAACGCCGCGUGCGGGAUGACGGCCUUCGGGUUGUAAACCGCUUUCGCCUGUGACGAAGCGUGAGUGACGGUAAUGGGUAAAGAAGCACCGGCUAACUACGUG